UACGUAGGGUGCAAGCGUUGUCCGGAAUUAUUGGGCGUAAAGAGCUCGUAGGCGGUCUGUCGCGUCGGCUGUGAAAACCCGAGGCUCAACCUCGGGCCUGCAGUCGAUACGGGCAAACUAGAGUACUGCAGGGGAGACUGGAAUUCCUGGUGUAGCGGUGAAAUGCGGCAGAUAUCAGGAGGAACACCGAUGGCGAAGGCAGGUCUCUGGGCC
rnacentral:rRNA from 1 species